rfam:Triticum aestivum genome assembly, contig: Triticum_aestivum_CS42_TGACv1_scaffold_323982_4BL
UUUGUACUCCCUCCGUCCGAAAAUACUUGUCAUCAAAAUGGAUAAAAAAGAAAACUAAAAUAACUCUAGAUACACCCCUUUUUAUUUAUUUUGAUGACAAGUAUUUCCGGACGGUGGGAGUACUUA